rnacentral:ncRNA from 1 species
AAAAAGGCAAAGAACGGAAAGAGUAGAUUUUUGGAAUUUCCCAGAGAGAAGUUGCCAGAGGCUGAAAGCAACUUUGGAAGGAAGAGGAUUGAAGUGCCUCCGGGAGCCGACUGGAAGAAAUGAUAGUAUUUCGGUACGUUUUGCGCACGUUACGUGUUUUGAGUGAAAUGCAGCAGUGCAUUUACUUAGAGUGGAACCGCGGAUAACUUCGUCUCUAAA